UCAGAUUGUGACUGCAAGACAGUAAUGAAGCGUGGAAAGUGAAACUUCAGAUUAGGGCAAUGACUGCACCCUGCUCAGCCCUGGGAAGACAGGAUGUUGCAAACUGCUCCUCUGGUCUGUGCUGAGUUACUACUCCUGCUGUGUCAGGUCUGAAAGGUGAGGCACCUUCUGGAGGAGAGUGAGGAGCAGGAAGGAGUGAGCAAGCAGCCAUGCAAGAGGAAGGAGCCCAGGAGGCUGGGAGAGGCCUUGAGAAUCAGAAGGAAGGCGAGUGGCUGGUGCAAGCAGAAAGGAAAAGACUCUUCAGGAAGCUUGUUCGGUUCUCUUCUCAUGGUGCUGUCGAGGGUUGGAUGCAGACUUGCCUUGGCCAGAAGACUGAAGACCGGUUGGCUUCAGUGCAGGAAACUACUUAGUCAGAACAAAGCUGCUGAAAUGAAGCCUGGGAGCAUUAAGAGGCAACGGAUUUGGAACAUAAAAUUCCAACUGGCCACCCACCAUUUUGGAAGAUCCAGGCUGGAGGCCCU
rnacentral:lncRNA from 1 species